GCCGAUGCAGCCGCGCCCGGUGGGAUUCCACGUCGUGGCGGGAACCGGCAGCCCCAGUUGCAAAUACACGGCGCUUUGCAUCUUUAAAGGAAACUUUAGAAGUUUUAAUCGAAAGGCGUUUUUUAAAUGGACAGAGGACGUUUGGAGCUAAUUUGGAAUUAGGACGUUUGGACUGAAUUUGGAAGUUUCCGAUCAAGGUGUUUGCGCAGACUUUACUGCUGAGCCUAUGCACGUGGGUGUCAGGGGAGACGUUCAGGCAUCUAGAUGCAGACUUUUAUCCAGGUACUUGGGGGGUUUGAAGAUUAGCCGCAACCUGGGCUGGGCGCUCACUCCUGUGAACAGGAUACUAACCUCUUUCAUAGAAUUGAUUGGACUACUUGAACCGUAGGCUCUUGGGAGGAACUUCAGAUUUUUCAUUUUCGAAGAAACUCUAAAUGAAUGAGAAAUUUACAGAAUGGAGACUGAAAAGGAAAAUCUCUUUUUUGAGCCUCAUAAAGGGGAC